UUCUGUUCUCCUUUUCAAAGUCUGCCUAGUGAACCUGCUCAGGCAUCCACUAUGUGACUGGCAGGAUCAUUAUCUGCAGAGGAUAGUCCACCUCACCCCACACUCCCCUCUCCCAAAGGACGCCUCACCUGGGAGGGGAAGACAGAGGAGGGGGAGUCUCUUCUCCCCAUCCCAUUAAUCUCCAGGAGCUUCUUGGUUUUGUGACAAUCUGCUCUCCUCCCACCCCUCCACCCCUCCUCUCGCCAUGGGGAGGGUGAAUUAGACUCAAAAAUGACUGUGUGCAGCACAAGUCAAGUAUUACUGGGGCCUAUGAAUGGCAAUAAAAAGAGCCUCAGCUCUAAUCACACAAAUAUGAAAAUUGAUAUUUAGACGAAGUUUUAUCUCAUGGUUGUGUUCCAUCACUAAACCCAGAAGAAAGUGUUUUACACUUAAGAAUAUAGGAAGUUCCAGCUAAAAUGCUAAUGGUCUAAAAUGUUGGAGGGGCUGGCAGAAGCUUCUCAAAGCUGCAAGCAAUUGAGAGGCAGGCACUUGAGCACUGUUCAGGAGUCAAUGGUGCCUUCGUUCUGCAGGAGCUAGUGGUCCCUAACUGGAAGCACACAUUUUAGACUGAGAAGCUGAGAGCUGCAUCUGGUUAAGCAGGUAUGAAAGGGCAGAUGGCUGUCUCUCCACAACCUUUGCUGUUUUUGGUGAAAAGGAAUUCAACUGUGUUUGGGUGAAAAUGAAGAAGCUCUUUUAUGAACAGCUGCUCACACAAAUCAGGAACCGAGGCCUGGGGCCUGGAGUGACCCCAGCUGAGCAGUAUUUAUCCCUGACUGCCCCUAAUGUCCUACAUGUGGAGCUACCUAAGACCAAACAAGCUGGCUUUGGUGAUGGAAGAUGUGACCAGCCUGCUGGAGACAGAGGGCUCUGCUUUCCAGGAGCCCAGGCGGACACACAGGGAUGAGUGGAGUGAGGGGGAGCACUCCUCUUCUGGAGCUUCGUGGCUAUCGAUAGACUCAGAAGGGCUCCAUAGUGCUCGGGACGCUCCUGGCGGUGAAGAGACUUGAAUGAGUUUUAGAUGCUGAAGUUUCCUUUACUCUGGAAAACAAGCUGACUGAAGAAUGCUCCAACCAUUGUUCUCGGAGAAAGCAGUAAAGAAACCCUUGACCUAAACACACAUACUGCAGACUCUGAAACCAGCAGAACUGUUUUGUCUGUUAGUGAAAAACAGCUGGUUUUUGUUGGGCAUGGUGAAGUCAGAGCUCUUCCUCUGUAGAUUUCUGUCCUGGACCUGAGUGGUGAGGGGAAGGCAGCCCAGGGGAGACCAGUGGACCAGAAGGAGCCAGAGGAAUUUCUGGAAGCACAAUCAUGCCUUAGUGUAGGCAGAGAUAGCAUCAGGAACUGACGAGGGGCUCGGGGAAAGUACCACGGCCUGGGGACACAGAUGAGAUACUAGGGAUGGAAAGAAGUUUACGUGAGGGCACUCAGGCCUCAUAAUUUGUCUGAAAGUUGGGCAUCCAUGUCCACAUGGCAUCAUUGUUUGCCACUGGCACCAGUCGCAGAGUUGGAGGAUUUAAUUCACCAUCAAUGGCCAGUGUAGCCAGAUGAGGGCAAAGGGCUGGGGUAGCCGGACACGGCCAGGCUGGCUCUGCGAGAAUUCUGAAAACUUGUUCUGCUUCUGCAGCUGCACAUGGAUAAAACAGCCACUGGAUACGGAGGGAGGGCCUGCUGCAGUGACUGUCACAUCCGAGUGUUCUUUAGAUACUGAAAACACUGAAACAAAGACCUUUCAUCUAGCGUGUUUGUUUUUGUUGUAAAUUGAAUAUGCGCUUAUGUUAGAUGAAGAAAAAACUAGAUGAGAAAGCACAUAUCACCUGCAUUCCUGCCGUCCAGCUCUUUCCAUUCACAUUUAAACUCUUUCUAGAAGACUGGGAUAAUCUUCUGUAUUUGUAUUGUAUUUAUUUUCUAAUGGGCUUUUUUAUGAGCGUAUUUUUAAUUAAAUUAAAACAAAUUUAAUGGCUACAUGUCAUUCUGCUUUAUGGCUCUAUAUCCUUUAACUAGUUCUCUAUUGUUGGCCAUUUAGGCUUGUCCUGGUUUUUGUAAUAAUUAACACUCUCAUGGUUAUCUUUCUACAAAAUUCUUUGCCUCAUCCCUGGUAGUUUCUUUAGCGUAGCUUCUCAGGAGUAGAAUUACUGGGACAAGUGACCUGAACUUGGUAAAGCCCACACUACCAAAUUGCCUGCAUCAAGUUGUACUCCCACCAUCUCUAUUAUUGCUUUUGUUACCUUGUGGCAAAAUCUAUUUAUAAGCUAGUUGGUGGGGGUGCGGGUGCUUUUAUUGCAUUGUUCUGGGCUUUGGACUUCCUGGGUGAGACUCCAUUAAGAACUAAGCCAAAUGAACUCAAAACGCCCACCCUGGCCCCUUUAGGGAUGCACCUUCCAACUGCCCAGGAGCCAAGAGGAUGGGAAUGUGUGGUCCAAGGGCUUCCCCAGGCUCCCGGUGACAAGCCCUAAGAGUCCUCAGGGUGGGCCUCCUCAAAUUGGGGAACAAAGGAGUAGCCCAGCUCGUCCUAGGCAGUCUGCUUAGCCUGGGUGUUCCAGGUCCUAGUCGCUCCAUGAUUAUCAGUGAUAAGCCAUGCUUCUGAGAGAGGCCAUUGUGCUGAAUCUGUGUCACCUCUGGAUUUCAUGCACAAACAGGGCCCUUUGGAGCACCAGAGCUGGGAUCACCGGAGGGUGGAGGUGGCUCAGCUGUGAGACCACUGGCUGCUGAGGUGGGCUAGGGCAUCUUGCAGGGCCGGUCUCCUCCCCUCAGCUGGGACCUCCUCCUGCACACUCGCCUCAGAAGGGAACUGGUGGGAGGGGAAGGGCUGGACCAGUGCCAUCCAAGAGAAAUUUUAAAAGAAGUUAAAAACAUGGCUCUCAAACAAAAGAGAAUGACCAUGCAUCCAAAAUUUCAUUCAGCUCCUCAAUUCAGGAGGAAGCCAGGAAGUUGGUAAUGUGGGCU
ensembl:lncRNA